AUUUUAAUUUUUUUAGCAAUUGGUUCCCCUUUCAAGCCAUGGAAAGCUACCAAUACUCAGCUGUGGAGCGUAACAACCUGAUGAGGCUGUCUCAGAGCAUCCCCUUCACCCAGUGCCCCCUAGAGGUGAGCCAGUAAAGUGUAUCGUCUGGAGGAGAGUUCUCCCAACACCAUCACAACAGCAUUCCUCCUGGGCUCACAAAGGUCUCUGUGCCAAGAUAGAGUUCCUCAGUAAGGAGGAGAUUGGGAGGGGGCUGCGACGUGCACUCAAGGUGCUGUGUACGUGGUCGGAGUAUGACAUUCUGAAGCCAGGUCACCUGUAUAUCGUUAAGUCCUUCCUACCAGAGGUGGUCAGACUGGCAGAGCAUCUACAAGGAGGACACUGUACUGCUGCUCUGCCUCAGGGUAAGAGGAGAACACACUCUCACACACACUGC